CCCAGAGGAAACUUCCAGACAUUCUACAGGACACAGAGAGAAGUGGCUGAGAGACUCUAGGCCUGUGGGCUGAAGACAGAUGCCCCAACUUUACAGAGGAACUUUGGAUGAAUGUCCAGGCUGCUAGCUGUCUCUGUCUACUCUUGCAAGACUCCUGAAAGUUGCUUGUGUCCUUCUUCCAUUUCUCAGCCUGGAGAUAGUAAAGGCUCAUGUCACUGCUAAGUACCUGAGGAUCGAAUUCUUGACAGAAGAUGUUCCUGAGAUCAUCAGUUUUUCCACCAAACUAAAGGCAUAAACAGUGGUGAAUUAUAUAAAAUCCAGAGGGAGAAAAGUUCUGCAUGAUUAAGAAGAAUAUUUGAAAGAGAAACGAGACUUAGGUGGCAGAUCUACAGUUUAACAUUAGAGCCCUGGAUCCAGCAAAUGGAAGGACUGAAGACAGAAUUUGCAGGUAUCUGGGAAGAGUGGCUGUCUAGCAUCCUUGAUGCUUCUUAGUAACCUUCCUGCUGUUAUGUUUGGAUCUCACUGGGUUCAGUGGGGGCCGUUAUCUAAGAAG